rnacentral:lncRNA from 1 species
UGCAUUUUUGUCACCGGUUCGUUACAAGCAAAAUACAUUAUGUAAUAAUUAUUAUGUACCCUAUACUUAGAGUGUAAGGUGUGGGCAACACCCACUUGUGUUUUUUGAGGCCAAGCAAUAAAAACGCCAUGAAAACGGGAAAAGAGGGGGUGAUGUUCUGCCAAGAAGACGCCAUCAUGAGGAAGAGAAACAGAGAGGAAAAAGAGAGGAAAACGGGUUUUGCCUCCCAUUGCCACGAAAACGCGCACCAACGUAACACCUAAUAACGUCGGGCGGGGGCGGUGUUCCUUGCGUUAUAUCAGCGUUUUUCUGUGCCACGUCACAAUAAUGCGUUUGGGCGUUGCUCACACUGUGUAGCCUUAAAAAGGGAAAUAAAGAACCUGCCAUAGAUGACAUUAAACACAAAUCACUUGUCCCCACUUACCCAAAGGAGUGUAUAAGUGAUAAAUCCGAUAGCACUCUAAGAAUAAGCAAAUGAUUAUUUGAUCUUAAGUUUGAUUAUUCUAGCAUUAAUAAAUGAUAACCACUUUAUAUAAAUAUAAAUAUAUACUAAACUCGGAGGAAUUCAUCAGAAACCAUCCAACUUUUAGAAGAAAAAAAAGCUAAUUGAUUAUGAAUUUAUGAUUUGAUAAUGUCGAAAGAAUCGUAUUGGAAGGAUAAGCCACCAAAGUUUUGGAAUGUUUUGUUGAAUAUAUUUGGUAAAGCUGAAACAAACAUAAAUAAACUACAACUAUUAAAUUUGAGAAUAAAAAUAAUCGGUGCAUAAACUAAAAGCAUACCAUUAACAUUUUGUUCUGACAUUGUAGCUCCCUACACAAUUACUCAAGUUUAUUUCAAAUAGCAAUAGCUGAAAAUGAGAGAAAAAUAACAUUAAAGCAAAACUUGCGGAAAUACACAAGGGAAAGAAGUGACUUUCUUUUGAAAUAAAUUUCCAAAACAAUAAUUAGUUUAUAUUUAUCAAGUGAUGCAGAAACUCAGUGCUAAAUCAAUACAUACUUAAACAAUGAGAAUGAAGACAAAAGAUUAACAUAUAGUCUACUGCCAUUGAAACAGGUUUCUCCAUAUGCUUUAACAUAACAUAAAUGGGUGGAAUUUAGCAAAAUACGAUUAAAAUAUAAAAAAAUCAUUAAAUCUACCCUAAUAAAUAAAAAUGAUUUUGCCACAUGUCAUUCUCUCAUUCAAAUUGCCACAUGUCAUUUUGUCAUAAUUUAGACAUAUAUUUAUUUUCCACUUGUCAUUUAUUUCAUUUUCCAUUUCUAAUAUGUUAUUAAUUAGUUUCCAUAAAUUAAACCUACCAUAAUGAUAUUAAUUUCAAAUUUUAAAUUUUAAAUUUUAAAUUUCAAUUUCAAUUUCAAAUAAAUUUACAGUUUAAACCUUUGUGUUUAACAUUUUGCUAUAAUUAACAUGUUUAGUAUACGUGUCUGAUAACUAAACAAUAAUUUUAAUUUAUUUAUUUUUUGCAUGUUUUUUUUUUCUCAUAAUUUUUAUUUAUUUCAAAUUUCAAAUUCAAAUGAACUUCUCAUUUAAUCGUUUCUAUUUAACAUUUUGUUUUAAUCAACCCGUAUAAUAUACGGGUUUCACAACUAGUUUGUAAUAUGAUUUGUUGAUUAUUUGUUACCUGCAAUAUUCAAGCGUGAUGGACGUAAUUCAAAUGGGGUUGUUCUGAAUUUUCAUUUCCACUUGAACCUUCACCAACAUAAGUAUUUGAAAUUCCCAAGUUUAAAUUGAAUCCAUAAUCGCUUCUUGUGUCAGAAAUUGCAAAACUUUGUAAAAUUUAAAAGAAACAACACAAACUGACAGAGUGUGAUUGUGGUUGAUGAAAGUUGUAUUACAGUGAUGAGUUGAAGGAAGCAUAUUGUUUCCUUGUUAAGUAUUGCCUUCAAAGUUGGUGAUUGUUUCCCUUCCAAAUCCAACCUGUCAAAACCAUGCCAAAUUCAAAAUUAACAUACAAAGUCACUUGGCUAUGGUACCAACAACUACAUACAAUGGAAAUUACAACUGGAAAAUAAAUAGUUGAUUGGAUGAAGAUCAUUAUUUUAUACAAUAAAAGUAGAAGUGUUAGCAAAAAUUAACAAAUGAAAAGGAGAUAAGAGAUUGAAAUUACCAAAUUAAGAAAAUAAGAUGGGUGUGUAGAGAAGCUGGGCAACGAUCAGAACCCGGUGACAGCCGAAUUUCAGAAGAAUGCCAUUUCUGCAUUUCUUUACCCUCAAUGACAUAUUCUUCUACAAAUAAAGGAUUCGGUAGUCAUAAAUUCAAUAAAUUAGUAGAUGGAAUUAGAGUUAGAGAAGAAAUUAACAUGAUGGAAUGGAAUGCAAUUUGUAAUUUGAGGACCUAUAACUGUUAUAACUGGAAGUUCCAGGAUAGAAUUCAUACUUGCAGUUCCACUGACACCACCCACUAUUUUGGAUAAUCAAUCUUUCACUUCAAUAUUCUCGUUGCACCAUUGAUGAUUUUAGUUCUCAAAGUUCACUAAUGAAACUUUAAGUUUUCUGCAGUGGUGUGCUUAACAAUGGAAACAAUAAGCAUACAUGAAAGCCAAUGUCGAUACGGUGGCAAGCAAUCCAUGGUGGAAGGUGGGAAUCGACUAUGUAUAUGAGACCCAAAUUAGACAAUAAAGUAACCCCAACCCUAAAACAAAGUGACUGACGGUAGAUCCCGAAACCAAAAAUUGAAAAAACAAACAACAAACCCAAAAUCGAAUAAUCGAACAGAGAACUACUUCCAAACAUCAAAAAACAUGUAUGAACAUGUGAAGAACAGAGGUAACUUACCCAACUCGCAAUCAAAAUAGAUACAUUGAAACCGAUGGUUGGGUGCGACGAAACAACCGUGAACCGUCCGCGUCAUUGCGAAAUCUCAACAAUCACUGCACCGACAAACCCCAAAAUUGUUGGAAGCAAAGAAAAGACCAAGAAGAAAUCAUAAAUUAAGGGAAAGACAAAGACAAAGAGGAAUGAUAAUCGUUUUAACAGUGAUGCAUGUAUCGUAUUGACAGGGACGAAAGCUUAGAAAC